AGAGUUUGAUCAUGGCUCAGAUUGAACGCUGGCGGCAUGCUUUACACAUGCAAGUCGAACGGUAACAGGCCGCAAGGUGCUGACGAGUGGCGAACGGGUGAGUAAUGCAUCGGAACGUGCCCGGUCGUGGGGGAUAACACUUCGAAAGAAGUGCUAAUACCGCAUACGUCCUGAGGGAGAAAGCGGGGGACCGAAAGGCCUCGCGCGAUUGGAACGGCCGAUGUCGGAUUAGCUAGUUGGUGGGGUAAAGGCCUACCAAGGCGACGAUCCGUAGCGGGUCUGAGAGGAUGAUCCGCCACACUGGGACUGAGACACGGCCCAGACUCCUACGGGAGGCAGCAGUGGGGAAUUUUGGACAAUGGGCGCAAGCCUGAUCCAGCCAUGCCGCGUGAGUGAAGAAGGCCUUCGGGUUGUAAAGCUCUUUCAGACGGAAAGAAAUCGCGCGGGCGAACAACCUGCGUGGAUGACGGUACUGUCAGAAGAAGCACCGGCUAACUACGUGCCAGCAGCCGCGGUAAUACGUAGGGUGCGAGCGUUAAUCGGAAUUACUGGGCGUAAAGCGUGCGCAGGCGGUUGUGUAAGACAGGUGUGAAAUCCCCGGGCUUAACCUGGGAACUGCGCUUGUGACUGCACGGCUAGAGUACGGCAGAGGGGGGUGGAAUUCCACGUGUAGCAGUGAAAUGCGUAGAGAUGUGGAGGAACACCGAUGGCGAAGGCAGCCCCCUGGGCCGAUACUGACGCUCAUGCACGAAAGCGUGGGGAGCAAACAGGGUUAGAUACCCUGGUAGUCCA
rnacentral:rRNA from 1 species